GCCUGGCUGGCUCAGUCGACAGAGCAUGUGACUCUUGAUCUUGGGGUCAUGAGUUCAAGCCCCACGUUGGGCA
rfam:Ailuropoda melanoleuca scaffold573_21, whole genome shotgun sequence.